rnacentral:rRNA from 1 species
AUUGAACGCUGGCGGCAGGCCUAACACAUGCAAGUCGAGCGCGCGGCGGACGGGUGAGUAAUGUCUGGGAAACUGCCUGAUGGAGGGGGAUAACUACUGGAAACGGUAGCGAAUACCGCAUACCAUCAGAUGUGCCCCGAUGGGAUGAGCUAGUAGGUGGGGUAACGGCUCACCUAGGCGACGAUCCCUAGCUGGUCUGAGAGGAUGACCAGCCACACUGGAACUGAGACACGGUCCAGACUCCUACGGGAGGCAGCAGUGGGGAAGAUUGGACAAUGGGCGAAAGCCUGAUGCAGCCAUGCCGCGUGUAUGAAGAAGGCCUUCGGGUUGUAAAGCACUUGCAGCGGGGAGGCGUUACCCGCAGAAGAAGCACCGGCUAACUCCGUGCCAGCAGCCGCGGUAAUUC